rfam:Schistosoma rodhaini strain Burundi genome assembly, scaffold: SROB_scaffold0000257
AUCCGACUGACGAGUCCCGAAUAGGAUGAAACGUGCGCCCUGGAU